CAGUAGCCGCGGGAAUACGUAGGGCGCGAGCGUUAAUCGGAAUUACUGGGCGUAAAGCGUGCGCAGGCGGUUUUGUAAGACAGGCGUGAAAUCCCCGGGCUCAACCUGGGAAUGGCGCUUGUGACUGCAAAGCUAGAGUGCGGCAGAGGGGGAUGGAAUUCCGCGUGUAGCAGUGAAAUGCGUAGAUAUGCGGAGGAACACCGAUGGCGAAGGCAAUCCCCUGGGCCUGCACUGACGCUCAUGCACGAAAGCGUGGGGAGCAAACAGGAUUAGAGACCCCUGUAGUCCCUGUCUCUUAUAA
rnacentral:rRNA from 1 species